CCCUAGCUUCUUCCUUCUCAUAGCUUCUCUCUCAGAACUCGUCGGCGCGAAGAUGACCGUAGAAGCAGUGAACCCUAAGGCGUACCCGUUAGCCGAUUCUCAGCUAGCGAUAACUAUCCUCGACCUUGUCCAGCAAGCUACGAACUACAAACAGCUCAAGAAAGGAGCUAAUGAAGCUACCAAGACUCUGAACCGUGGUAUCUCUGAGUUCGUGGUCAUGGCUGCCGAUGCUGAGCCUCUCGAGAUUCUUCUCCACCUCCCUCUUCUCGCCGAAGACAAGGUAUUGACUUCUUCUUAUCCUUAUGGAUCUCAAUUAGGUUUUAAGUCUUUUGCUAGUUUCACUUGAUUAUCUGAUUUGCAUCAAGAAUUGUAGAAAGUCUAUGAAUCUAUAUGUAGAAUCUGUUGGUUACUAGACUCCACUUUCAAGGUUUGAAGUCAUGAUGUUCUGUUUCUUUUGUAACAUUUGACAAAUUGUAUGUUGUGUAAAUCUUAGUUCUGUAAUAACAGGGAUGUAUUUUCUUGGUAGUUCCAUACUUUGUUGAUUCAUGAGUAUUUAACCGACAAGAAAAUCCAUAUAUGUUGUUUUACUUAGUUUAAACAUGCUCUGCAUAUGUAUAUUUAAUAGUUUUUUCUGCAAUCUCUUUUAAGCAAGCAACUUUUGAUUCUCUAACUAACUGUUUGUUCUGUCUUUAUGUCUUUGAAUUGUUGUAGAAUGUGCCGUAUGUGUUUGUGCCAUCCAAACAAGCCCUUGGAAGAGCAUGUGGUGUUACAAGACCCGUGAUUGCUUGUUCCGUUACAUCAAACGAGGCUAGCCAGUUGAAAUCUCAAAUUCAGCAGCUUAAGGAUGCUAUUGAGAAGCUUCUCAUCUAAGGUUUUUGGGUGGUGAUAUGAAUGAAUGAUGGGUCUUCCUCCAUUUAAUGGAGAAGGCUUUGAAGUUUUAGCUUAUGAAGAAACGAUGAUUCUACUAUGAGUUUUUGAAGUUUGUAAUGUUUUAUUUAAAAAAAAAAAAAAUUCGUAUUGUGUUGCUGCUACUGUAGUUUUGAACAAGAACAAUCAUUUAUAAUUGAGUUUUUUAGAUUUAUAAGUUUAUUUGUUUGGUGGUUUUGGGAUUUUUUUGAAUCAACAUGAUUGAAAAGUAAACAAUUUAGAGGCCAAAUUAAGUAUGGAAAAACCUACAUAUCAUCUAUUGCAUACAAAUGUUUAACAUUCAAUUAUAUAUUUUUUUAAAAAAAAACUUCGACAAACUUGAGAACAAUAUGGUGCUUAAAAGCGCAAAACAGUUGAACAAAUGUGAUUGGUUUUAUAAUAUAAGCGAUAUGCUAAACGAAAUUUAAACACAAAUAGAAAUCAACGGUAGUUUAAAUGAUUUUGCUUCUAAACAAUUUAACUUUCAUUAAACAGAAAAAUAAAUGUUAUAUAGAUUAUUCGUUAAAUCAAUUUUUAUAUUAUCUAAUUAUAUGAAAUGAUAUUUUAGGCUAAUAAAUAAAUACUUAUAAUGUUAAUUAAAAAUUGCUAGGAACCAAUAAAAUUACAUAAUGAUUUAGUUUAUAACAUAAUAACAUAUUAUUAUAAAUAUAUUUAAAAUAAAAUAAAUAAUUCUGAUAAAAUAUGAAGAUUUAAUUUGUUUUUAAUAAUUAGUGCGGAUAUCGAUAUUUAUUAUCUUUUCUGAUAUAAACAAUACAAAAUAUAAUGAAAUUUGAUCAUAAUAAUUUAUAUCUUAUCAAUGAAAUUGUAUAAUAUAUUUUUGUGUGUAAAUUUUAAUUUAUUUCAUAACUUUUUUGAACCACAAAUUAUUUUACAACUUAGUUAUAUUUUUCUUCCAUUAUGACAACGCUAUUAAUAAGAGGCUAGCUAAUUUUAGUGUUUCCUUUUUUAUCUGUCGGAGGGCAAAGUAAGUCCCCUUUAUAUACACGUUUGUAUCCUCUCCUUGUAACCAGAAACGUUGUCAAUCUCAAUCGCCUUCGCCAUUUCUCUCUGAAACACGGAAAGCAAAUUCUAAUCGCAAUCUCGAAUAAAUUUGUGAUUCAGUUCGGUUUUGGGUUCGAUUAUGAUUAUUUUUUUCUUCUUAUUUUUUCAAAUGAAUGAUUCUGACCUAACCGGAGACAUCGCGAAGUUUCCCUUUAUAAUCUCCUGAAUCGCUGCCUCCUCUCAACUAAACUAAAACCCUAGCUUCUUCCUUCUCAUAGCUUCUCUCUCAGAACUCGUCGGCGCGAAGAUGACCGUAGAAGCAGUGAACCCUAAGGCGUACCCGUUAGCCGAUUCUCAGCUAGCGAUUACUAUCCUCGACCUUGUCCAGCAAGCUACGAACUACAAACAGCUCAAGAAAGGAGCUAAUGAAGCUACCAAGACUCUGAACCGUGGUAUCUCUGAGUUCGUGGUCAUGGCUGCCGAUGCUGAGCCUCUCGAGAUUCUUCUCCACCUCCCUCUUCUCGCCGAAGACAAGGUAUUGACUUCUUCUUAUCCUUAUGGAUCUCAAUUAGGUUUUAAGUCUUUUGCUAGUUUCACUUGAUUAUCUGAUUUGCAUCAAGAAUUGUAGAAAGUCUAUGAAUCUAUAUGUAGAAUCUGUUGGUUACUAGACUCCACUUUCAAGGUUUGAAGUCAUGAUGUUCUGUUUCUUUUGUAACAUUUGACAAAUUGUAUGUUGUGUAAAUCUUAGUUCUGUAAUAACAGGGAUGUAUUUUCUUGGUAGUUCCAUACUUUGUUGAUUCAUGAGUAUUUAACCGACAAGAAAAUCCAUAUAUGUUGUUUUACUUAGUUUAAACAUGCUCUGCAUAUGUAUAUUUAAUAGUUUUUUCUGCAAUCUCUUUUAAGCAAGC
rnacentral:lncRNA from 1 species